rnacentral:tRNA from 1 species
UCCCUGGUGGUCCAGUGGUUAGGAAUUGGCACUCUCACAGCUGGGGCCCAGGUUCAAUCCCUGGUCAAGGAG